rnacentral:misc_RNA from 1 species
GAUGAAGAACGCAGCGAAAUGCGAUAAGUAAUGUGAAUUGCUGAAUUCAGUGAAUCAUCGAAUCUUUGAACGCACCUUGCGCCUUUUGGUAUUCCGAAAGGCACACCUGUUUGAGCGUCAUGAAUACCUCAAUCUCCAUCUUUUCUUCGGAUUGAUGGGUGACUUGGAUGUUGAGCCCUGCUGGUAUGCUAUAUCAGCUGGCUUUAAACUUAUUAGCCGGCUCUGUACUGGAUCGGUUUGACUCGACGUGAUAAUAUUAUCGUUGAGGAUGCAUGUCUCAUGCAGCCGGAAAGUAUCAAAGCAGCUUCUAGCUUGCCUUUAGUGCACUUUUACAUUUUAGACCUCAGAUCAGGUGGGACUACCCGCUGAACUUAAGCAUAUCAAUAAGCGGAGGA